CUACUCUUGACAUCCAGAGAACUUUCCAGAGAUGGAUUGGUGCCUUCGGGAACUCUGAGACAGGUGCUGCAUGGCUGUCGUCAGCUCGUGUUGUGAAAUGUUGGGUUAAGUCCCGCAACGAGCGCAACCCUUAUCCUUUGUUGCCAGCGGUUAGGCCGGGAACUCAAAGGAGACUGCCAGUGAUAAACUGGAGGAAGGUGGGGAUGACGUCAAGUCAUCAUGGCCCUUACGAGUAGGGCUACACACGUGCUACAAUGGCGCAUACAAAGAGAAGCGACCUCGCGAGAGCAAGCGGACCUCAUAAAGUGCGUCGUAGUCCGGAUUGGAGUCUGCAACUCGACUCCAUGAAGUCGGAAUCGCUAGUAAUCGUAAAUCAGAAUGCUGCGGUGAAUACGUUCCC
rnacentral:rRNA from 1 species